CACUCCUGCGGGAGGCAGCAGUGAGGAAUAUUGGACAAUGGGUGGAAGCCUGAUCCAGCCAUCCCGCGUGCAGGAAGACGGCCCUAUGGGUUGUAAACUGCUUUUAUCUGGGGAUAAACCUACUUACGUGUAAGUAGCUGAAGGUACCAGAAGAAUAAGCACCGGCUAACUCCGUGCCAGCAGCCGCGGUAAUACGGAGGGUGCAAGCGUUAUCCGGAUUUAUUGGGUUUAAAGGGUCCGUAGGCGGACUGAUAAGUCAGUGGUGAAAUCCGACAGCUUAACUGUCGAACUGCCAUUGAUACUGUUAGUCUUGAGUAAGGUUGAAGUGGCUGGAAUAAGUAGUGUAGCGGUGAAAUGCAUAGAUAUUACUUAGAACACCAAUUGCGAAGGCAGGUCACUAAGUCUUAACUGACGCUGAUGGACGAAAGCGUGGGGAGCGAACAGGAUUAGAAACCCCUGUAGUCCCAUG
rnacentral:rRNA from 1 species